UUGAAAAAUUACAGCCCCUUUUCCUGAACCUCCUCCUGUGCACUCUCUCAUCGGACAAAAAUGAAUUGCAAAACCCUAGUCACCACCACCUCUACUCCUUACCACCAUAAUUGUGCCUUCCUCGAUUUGUGUCGCCUGUUAAACGGGGCUUGGUUAAUAAAAUGUUUGGAAUUAGCGAUCUUGUUGCAUGUGAUGAUGAGCAAAAAAGGUAAUUAACCUAGAAAUAGAGGUGCAUCUGUUUCUUUGAAUCAUAUUUCAUUUUCUAAUUUCUACUUCCUUAACCUGGGUAUGUAAAUACUAUGACAUUUUAACAUGAUUUAUGUACAUACUUUGCUAUAAAGUAGUGUUAAGGAACAUUGAGAGCAAGAUGACUCUAUGACAGUGCGGUAGAACUGGAAUUAAAAGGGCAUUCACAUGUUUGAGUAUUCUUCAUGAUAAGCUUCUUAAUUUUAUUCUUGUUUUCUCUUAUACAUUAAUCAUUUUUUAUAGGAAAAUGCGAAAUGAAACUAUAUUUUGCAAGAAUGUUAGUAGCUUCUUUUGUCAUUUUCCAUUGAACAAUGUUUAUUUUCAACAAGGUACUAUGUUGCUUCUUCUAUCUCGCCUGUUCUCUCGUUCUAUUAAUUAAUCUUUACGUAAUUGGCGUUUCUUCUUCUAUGUGAUAAUGUAUUGACGUUUUACCAAACAUUUAUUCUUUAUUAUGGUUUCAUUGGUUGCUUUUUUCUCAUGUACAAUUUAUGGGAUCUACCAAACAUAUUUUCUAGUUAUAUGCUAGCAAUGAAUAGCAACAACAGUCACUAUAGCAUUCAAGAACCCUUGAUUAACAGUGAGAUAUUCAUCCAUAAUCAAUUGUUGCAAUAUAGUGAAAUAUUGAAGGUCUAAAGAAUGAAAACGAUGAGUUCUUCGGCAAAUAUUGAUUGAUGAAAGCAGCAGACGAAGUCACAAAUAAAAUUAGAACCUCAUAUCAACAGAUGUUGAAGAAAACCACCAGACUCUCUAGUGAAGCUUAUUGAUGUUUGUGGUUAUAUAUAAAUUCAAAGGAGAUUUCAGAAGAUACAAGUGAAGAAAUGGUAUGGAACGGCGUGAACCAUUACUACAAACACAUGGACUAAGUUUUUAUUGAACAUAAAAAUCAUAAAAGCGUGACGAUGAUUCAGGAAAUGAUAUUUGAAGAGCACAAAAAUUUGGUAGACGAGAUAUUGAAAUUGAGACUAGAAAAGUCAAAAGAAGAUCGAGGCUGCUAGCAUUGUUUUUGAGUGCCUAGAAGUUGGAGUGAUGUAACUGCAUCCAAGAAGAUCAGGUUUGAAGACUACCGUUAGCAACAUAUGUAUUUGUUUAUUCCCAAAAACCCAUCAGUAUCCACAAUUUUCUUAAAUGUGCGAUUAUUUCUCUCAUCCAGUUGCCUAGAAUAUUGAUGGACAUUUAGGAACACGAUGCAAAGGAGUUUUUAGGUGCACAUCUACCUUGCUUGGCUCAAUAUACAACAUGAAUAAUUGCAGGCAUAUUGAUGCUUGUGGGUAAUUGCAAAAAGGUUUGUGUCAAUGUCCUCUGAUUCAAGCUUUUAGCUUUUGUACACGAUGAAAGUGGCCAUUCAAAUCACUGUAAGGUUGUUUGACACUUACGGGGCAAGCUUGCUGCUACUGCCGAGAAUGAAAACAGAUUAUGGUGGGGGCAUGCAAAAAACCUCUCAACUGGAUACAUAUGACAUCUCGUUAGAUGUUUUGUAAGAUUGGAUCUUAAUGAUCUUAAUAUGUAAGAAUUCAUUUAGAAAUUUAGGUAGGGGCUUUUUUAUUGGUUAAAUGCAAAAAUAAGAGUAUAAUAGUUGUAAA